rnacentral:rRNA from 1 species
AGAGGCCCCAAGCGUUAGGCGGAAUCACUGGGCUUAAAGCGUGUGUAGGCGGACUUCUAAGUACCUUGUGAAAUCCCACGGCUUAACCGUGGAACUGCUUGGUAUACUGGUCGUCUUGAGCCACUUAGGGGUUACCGGAACAAAUGGUGGAGCGGUGAAAUGCGUAGAUAUCAUUUGGAACGCCAAUGGUGAAAACAGGUAACUGGGAGUGUGCUGACGCUGAGACACGAAAGCCAGGGGAGCGAACGGGAUUAGAUACCCCGGUAGUCCUGGCCCUAAACGAUGUCCACUAGAUCGUAGGACCUCUGACGGUUUUAUGGUCGAAGCAAAAGUGCUAAGUGGACCGCCUGGGAAGUACGGUCGCAAGGCUA